GAUUCAAGACCUGUACGGUGCGGUUAAACACCACGGUUACUUUAGAGAGUUUAAUCACCUACACACGUAACGAUACGAAUUUGCAUUUUUUAUAGUUGUUUUUUCGGUGUACUAUUGCCUUUUUCGGUGUUUGUUUCUAUUUUCUGUUAUUUCAUUGUUUAUUGGUAAAUUUGCUUUAAAGAAAUUUAUUCCGAAAUAAAAAAGAGGAAAACCCCACAACAGAAAUAAUUUAAUUGAGAUCAAGCGAAAAGGUUUACAAAAGCCAAAGGAAAAUACGCGGCAAAAGUUACAAUUGUUUCCAUAGAAAAGUAAGAAAAAGUUAACGUGCCUGAUUUGUAUCAUCAACAACAAUUCGGACCGACACUACCAGCAGCCACAGCCAUUUAUCUUUCCCCCGCUUCAUUAGCAUUCAAUGAAUUAUAGUUAACUGUUUCUUUGCGCUGAAAACAAGGUGCCUAGGCGCGAAACGAACCCAAAUGCAGAUACAACGACGCAUGUGUAAACAAUGAAGAGUAUUAUUUGUCAUCUUUCUAGUUAUAAUGGAUUUACAUUAAAUUAU
rnacentral:sRNA from 1 species